UACUUGGUUGAUCCUGCCAAGGAAGCACACUUAGGUCAUAGAUUAAGCCAUGCAAGUGUUAGUUCAGGUAACGAAACUGCGAAUAGCUCAUUAAUACGCUCAGAAUCUAUUUGGCGGCGACCAACAGGUCUUAAAUGGAUAGCAGCAGCAACUCUGGUGCUAAUACAUGCGAUUGUUUCUCCAGAUGUGAAUUAUGGAGGAAAAGUUGACCUCAUCAGAGGCACGCCAUUCGACUGAGUGACCUAUCAGCUUGUACUUAGGGUCUUUACCUAGGUAGGCUAUCACGGGUAACGGGCGGUUACCGUCGGACUGCCGGAGAAGGCGCCUGAGAGAUAGCGACUAUAUCCACGGGUAGCAGCAGGCGCGAAACUUUCCCACUCGAGACUUUCGGAGGAGGUAAUGACCAGUUCCAUUGGUGCCUUUUGGUACUGUGGAUAGGGGUACGGUUUUCCACCGUACCGAAACCUAGCAGAGGGCCAGUCUGGUGCCAGCAGCUGCGGUAAUUCCAGCUCUGCGAGUUUGCUCCCAUAUUGUUGCAGUUAAAACGCCCGUAGUCUGAAUUGGCCAGCAAUGGUCGUACGUAUUUUUACGUUCACUGUGAACAAAUCAGGACGCUUAGAGUAUGGCCACAUGAAUGACUCAGCGCAGUAUGAAGUCUUGU
rnacentral:ncRNA from 1 species